GCCGGGUUAGCUCAGUGGUAGAGCAGCGGACUGAAAAUCCGUGUGUCGCAAGUUCGAUCCUCGCACUCGGCACCA
rnacentral:tRNA from 1 species